rnacentral:rRNA from 1 species
UACGUAGGGUGCAAGCGUUGUCCGGAAUUAUUGGGCGUAAAGAGCUCGUAGGCGGUCUGUCGCGUCUGCUGUGAAAACUCGGGGCUUAACCCCGGGCCUGCAGUGGGUACGGGCAGACUAGAGUGCGGUAGGGGAGACUGGAAUUCCUGGUGUAGCGGUGAAAUGCGCAGAUAUCAGGAGGAACACCGGUGGCGAAGGCGGGUCUCUGGGCCGUAACUGACGCUGGAGGAGCGAAAGCAUGGGGAGCGAACAGG